AGAAGCGGGGGAUAACACCUGGAAACAGAUGCUAAUACCGCAUAACAACUUGGACCGCAUGGUCCGAGCUUGAAAGAUGGCUUCGGCUAUCACUUUUGGAUGGUCCCGCGGCGUAUUAGCUAGAUGGUGGGGUAACGGCUCACCAUGGCAAUGAUACGUAGCCGACCUGAGAGGGUAAUCGGCCACAUUGGGACUGAGACACGGCCCAAACUCCUACGGGAGGCAGCAGUAGGGAAUCUUCCACAAUGGACGAAAGUCUGAUGGAGCAACGCCGCGUGAGUGAAGAAGGGUUUCGGCUCGUAAAACUCUGUUGUUAAAGAAGAACAUA
rnacentral:rRNA from 1 species